rnacentral:rRNA from 1 species
AUUGAACGCUGGCGGAAUGCUUUACACAUGCAAGUCGAACGGUAGAGGGGGCAGCCCCUCGAGAGUGGCGAACGGGUGAGUAAUAUAUCGGAACGUGCCCAGUCGUGGGGGAUAACGUAGCGAAAGUUACGCUAAUACCGCAUACGAUCUACGGAUGAAAGCGGGGGAUCGCAAGACCUUGCGCGAUUGGAGCGGCCGAUAUCAGAUUAGGUAGUUGGUGGGGUAAAGGCUCACCAAGCCAACGAUCUGUAGCUGGUCUGAGAGGACGACCAGCCACACUGGAACUGAGACACGGUCCAGACUCCUACGGGAGGCAGCAGUGGGGAAUUUUGGACAAUGGACGCAAGUCUGAUCCAGCCAUUCCGCGUGCAGGAUGAAGGCCCUCGGGUUGUAAACUGCUUUUGUACGGAACGAAAAGGUUUCCAUUAAUACUGGGAGCUCAUGACGGUACCGUAAGAAUAAGCACCGGCUAACUACGUGCCAGCAGCCGCAGUAAAAC